ACAUACUUAACAGUGGUUUCUGUUUCUAGUACUGAACGAGGAGAAACCGCCCUGAAAAUGGAGCCUACACUGAGGGAAUAGAGUUGAGAAGUGAAGAUUAAGAAUCAGAUCCUUGCUUGAGCUCUGAAUCAAGCCUCACCUGAAGCCAGAUUCAUCCUAGACUGGAUGGCCCGCACUAUGGAACCACUGGCAAAGAAGAUCUUUAAAGGAGUUUUAGUAGCUGAACUUGUGGGCGUUUUUGGAGCAUAUUUUUUGUUUAAUAAGAUGAACACAAGCCAAGAUUUCAGGCAAACAAUGAGCAAGAAAUAUCCCUUCAUCUUGGAAGUUUAUUACAAAUCCAUUGAACAGUCUGGAAUGUACGGAAUCAGAGAGCAAGAUCAAGAAAAAUGGAUGAACAGCAAAAAUUAGCAAUUUGGCCACUGAUCAAGGUUUAUCCUAUUUCAUAGUAUUAGGCAAGAUUAAAAUUCCAAAGUUGACACAGAUGGAUUAUGGAAUAUUUAAGGCAAAAUGUAAAUUCUAAUUAUGUGCGAGGUUUUAUUCUUUGGAGUGUGAAAUUGAUGGAAGGUAUGUUUAUUAUGUUAUAAAUGAAGUUUUGUUUAUACUACUCAAAAUAAAAUGGUUCUCUUUAAAA